GGCCAUUUUGUUCUUCUCGUGGUUCCAGUGGGGAGAGAAGGAGGAAGUAGGGAGCGGGGUGGCAGGGGGGGGACCCGCCGCGGCUGCUGCCACCGCCGCCACCACCGCCUCUGCUCGUGGCGUGGGAAAGGAGGUGUGAGUCCCGGGCGCGAGCCGGCGGCGGCGCCGCUGCGGGAGGGUCGGCGGUGGGAAGGCGAUGGCGGAUUUAGAUAAACUCAACAUCGACAGCAUUAUCCAACGGCUGCUGGAAGAGGGUCCAAGCCUGGUAAGAAUGUCCAGCUUCAGGAGAAUGAAAUCAGAGGACUGUGCUUAAAGUCUCGUGAAAUCUUUCUCAGUCAGCCUAUCCUACUAGAACUUGAAGCACCACUCAAAAUAUGUGGUGACAUCCAUGGACAAUACUAUGAUUUGCUGCGACUUUUUGAGUACGGUGGUUUCCCACCAGAAAGCAACUACCUGUUUCUUGGGGACUAUGUGGACAGGGGAAAGCAGUCAUUGGAGACGAUCUGCCUCUUACUGGCCUACAAAAUAAAAUAUCCUGAGAAUUUUUUUCUUCUCAGAGGGAACCAUGAAUGUGCCAGCAUCAACAGAAUUUAUGGAUUUUAUGAUGAAUGUAAAAGAAGAUACAACAUUAAACUAUGGAAAACUUUCACAGACUGUUUUAACUGUUUACCGAUAGCAGCCAUCGUGGAUGAGAAGAUAUUCUGCUGUCAUGGAGGUUUAUCACCAGAUCUUCAAUCUAUGGAGCAGAUUCGGCGAAUUAUGCGACCAACUGAUGUACCAGAUCAAGGUCUUCUUUGUGAUCUUUUGUGGUCUGACCCCGAUAAAGAUGUCUUAGGCUGGGGUGAAAAUGACAGAGGAGUGUCCUUCACAUUUGGUGCAGAAGUGGUUGCAAAAUUUCUCCAUAAGCAUGAUUUGGAUCUUAUAUGUAGAGCCCAUCAGGUGGUUGAAGAUGGAUAUGAAUUUUUUGCAAAGAGGCAGUUGGUCACUCUGUUUUCUGCGCCCAAUUAUUGCGGAGAGUUUGACAAUGCAGGUGCCAUGAUGAGUGUGGAUGAAACACUAAUGUGUUCUUUUCAGAUUUUAAAGCCUGCAGAGAAAAAGAAGCCAAAUGCCACGAGACCUGUAACGCCUCCAAGGGUUGCAUCAGGCCUGAACCCGUCCAUUCAGAAAGCUUCAAAUUAUAGAAACAAUACUGUUCUAUACGAGUGACCGAUUAUGCUUUCUUUGGCCUACAUUCUUUAUUCUGCGGUGAAGUUGAGGCUUAUAAGUUAAAACAAAGGAACUAACUUACUGUCCACCAGUUUAUACAGAACUCACAGUACCUAUGACUUUUUUAAACUAAGAUCUGUUAAAAAAGAAAUCUGUUUCAACAGAUGACCGUGUACAAUACCGUGUGGUGAAAAUGAAUUCAGACUUAUUAAAUGAUGAACUUGU
rnacentral:lncRNA from 1 species